UACGUAGGGGGCAAGCGUUGUCCGGAAUCAUUGGGCGUAAAGAGCGUGUAGGCGGCCUGGUAAGUCCGCUGUGAAAGUCCAGGGCUUAACCCUGGAAUGCCGGUGGAAACUGUCAGGCUCGAGUCCGGAAGAGGCGAGUGGAAUUCCUGGUGUAGCGGUGAAAUGCGCAGAUAUCAGGAGGAACACCAAUGGCGAAGGCAGCUCGCUGGGACGGUACUGACGCUGAGACGCGAAAGCGUGGGGAGCAAACAGG
rnacentral:rRNA from 1 species